rnacentral:rRNA from 1 species
UACGUAGGUGGCAAGCGUUGUCCGGAUUUACUGGGCGUAAAGGAUGCGUAGGCGGAUGUUUAAGUGAGAUGUGAAAUACCCGAGCUCAACUUGGGUGCUGCAUUUCAAACUGGAUAUCUAGAGUGCAGGAGAGGAAAGCGGAAUUCCUAGUGUAGCGGUGAAAUGCGUAGAGAUUAGGAAGAGCACCAGUGGCGAAGGCGGCUGUCUGGACUGUAACUGACGCUGAGGCAUGAAAGCCAGGGGAGCAAACGGG